CAUAAAGUCUCUGAUUUUGACUUUUGAACAAGAAUAAGAACAAGAAUUCCUUAACAAACAAGUAUUGUAAACUCUACCCCUUUCCUCACUCCCAAAGCGAUAUCUAUAAACCGACACCAGUUUUCCUUAUCCCGCGUUAAUUCCGUAUCUGCCACCGAUCAACAGUUGCUCACAUAACUCUUUAUAAAUACUCAAACCGAACACAAUCUAUUCAUCAAUCGGAUUCACAUAAACCUCAACCGACUGCUUUUUUGGAUAACUUGAAUAUAAGGCUAAGUUCAAGAUGGAUCAGAAAUCUGAGCAUGUUGAGAAGGAAGAGGUUCAUAUGAAAAUAGAGUGCAAGAUCAAAGGGGCAGAUGAAGAAAAAGGAGAGAAAGUCGAACAAGAGAUAGAUUUUAAAACUAAAUCAGUUGAGAAAGAGAAGCCAAAACAUAAGGACGAUGAAAAAAAACCGAAGAAAGAUGAAGAGAAAAAGAAAAAGGAGUCAGAAGGGGAAGACGAAAAUGUCGACAAGAAAGAAAAGAAGAAGAAAGAAAAGAAGAAAGACGAGGAUGGAGAAACAGACGAGGGAGAUAAAGAGUCGAAAAAGAAGAAGAAAGACAAAUCUGAUGAUAAAGAGCAUGAUGAUGAAGAAAAUAAGAACAAAAAAGAGAAGAAGAAGAAAGAAAAGGAUGACGAUGAAGAGAAAACUGAAAAGAAAGAUAAAGAGAAAAAGAAAAAGGAGUCGGAAGGGGAAGACGAAAAUGCCGACAAGAAAGAAAAGACGAAGAAAGAGAAGACGAAGAAAGAAAAGAAGAAAGACGGUGGAGAAACAGACGAAGGAGAUAAAGAGUCGAAAAAGAAGAAGAAAGACAAGCGUGACAAAUCUGAUGAUAAAGAACACGAUAAAGAAGAAAAUAAGAAUAAAAAUGAGAAGAAGAAGAAAGAAAAGGAUGACGAUGAAGAGAAAACCGAGAAGAAAGAUAAAAAAGAUAAGAAAGACAAGAAAACGCACAAGGAUGACAAAGUAAGUGAUGUCCAGGGUGAGUCAAGGGAGAUUGAAAUAGAAGAAGACGCUAAAGAAGCGAAGAAGGGGAAGAAAGAUAAGGGGGAUAAAAAGAAAGUUGAUGCAAAAUACAAGGAUGUUGACAAGCUAAAACUUAAAUUAGAGAAGCUCAACACUAAAAUUGAAGGUUUACUAGAGAAGAAGGCGGAAAUAACGAGGUUGAUGAAGGAGAAGGAGGAAAGCCGUGGUGUUGUUAAGGAAUCCAAUGAGACCAAUCCAGUUGCCGAAGAAGUGGCAUAAAGCUUGUUCAUGUAAUCUUAUCUUGUCUCUAUGCUCCUGUUUUAAUAAAUGAAGAUUAGCGUUCCUGAUAAUGGUCAAACGUGAACUAGUUUGACUUACCUGACAUCCCAAGUACUUGGUCAUGCUGUAAUCGGCGAAUGGGUUUUCAAACAGACCCAACGUGAACUUCACCCUCAAAAUCCUCUCAACCGCAUCGUCUAUUCGGCUCAUGGGUAUAAACUUAUUUUUGACCAAAGAAUUAUUGAAGACUUACAGGAGAUUCAGAGAGAGAGAGUGAAGAUCGGCUGCUUGUUGGAUUGUUUUUUGGAGGUAUUCUUGAAACUGGUUCAACAAUUUUGGCCGUCGGUCUGCUUUUCAUUGACCAUGCAUUGAGGAAACAAAUGAUUAAGAAAAUGUUUUGUGCAGUUAGAAUAAAUCUUGAGUUGUAAACAUGUUUUUUCAUUUGGAUUUUUAUCAUAUCACAUAUAUUAUAUAUUCUCUAGUUAUGAAUCA